AGUCAUAUGCUUGUCUCAAAGAUUAAGCCAUGCAUGUCUCAGUACAAGCCGCACUAAGGUGAAACCGCGAAAGGCUCAUUAAAUCAGUUAUGGUUCCUUAGAUCGUACCCACAUUUACUUGGAUAACUGUGGUAAUUCUAGAGCUAAUACAUGCAAACAGAGCUCCGACCGGAGACGGGAGGAGUGCUUUUAUUAGAUCAAAACCAAUCGGCGGCGGUGGCGUUCGCGUCGCCGUUCGCCGCUCAACCUGGUGACUCUGAAUAACUUUACGCUGAUCGCACGGUCUCGCACCGGCGACGCAUCUUUCAAAUGUCUGCCUUAUCAACUGUCGAUGGUAGGUUCUGCGCCUACCAUGGUCGUAACGGGUAACGGGGAAUCAGGGUUCGAUUCCGGAGAGGGAGCCUGAGAAACGGCUACCACAUCCAAGGAAGGCAGCAGGCGCGCAAAUUACCCACUCCCGGCACGGGGAGGUAGUGACGAAAAAUAACGAUACGGGACUCAUCCGAGGCCCCGUAAUCGGAAUGAGUACACUUUAAAUCCUUUAACGAGGACCAAUUGGAGGGCAAGUCUGGUGCCAGCAGCCGCGGUAACUCCAGCUCCAAUAGCGUAU
rnacentral:rRNA from 5 species